rnacentral:lncRNA from 1 species
UAUAAUAUCACUCAAACAUCAAUCUUUCCUUCAGAAUGAAACAACAGAUAUAAAAAUUCAUCUCCACUGAUAGAAAUAAUCAUUUUAGGAAUUGUGUCCAAAGUAGAAUAAAUUACAAAUUGUAGGAGCAAAACUACAGAGAUUCAUCAUCCAUCCUCAAGAGUAAGUAUUAACCGAAAAUUUGGGAUUUUUCGGAUAAAACAAACAGAGACACAUAUGCAGAAGAAGAAUAGACAGAGAUCAGAACAUAAAAACAUGAUUUAUUUUUGGAAACGGAUCAAAUCAGGAAAAAUAAAAAUAGAGGAGCCUAAGGGAAGUCUCUAAAUUGGUACCUGCUCGGGUUGAGAAGAGGACCUCUCCCACUUUUCCAUAACCAAAGCAAAGAUUAUUAUCAGAGACAAUGUAAGGAGCAGCAGCGACCUCUCCCACUUUUCCAUAACCAAAGCAAAGAUUUUUAGAAAUUUAUCGACUCAGAUAACAAAGAAGUCGAAUGACCUAGAUCGAUUAGGAUGAAAAUACUGACCACAAGACUGGAAAUCUGCGAAGUUGGAUUUUUCUGUUUUGACAAAAACGACGGUGUGAGAGAAGAGGAGAAGACAAAUUGAUUUGGGGAAGAAAAUGAUAAAUGAAAAAUGUUUUUUUUUUUUAUGAUUUUCUAACCAAUUCCCACGAAACACGUGGCAUAAGCCACUCUCUCAAAAGAGUCUUAACUUAGACUCGGAUAUCUCUUAGCUUUUCAC